rnacentral:tRNA from 1 species
AGGAUAAUAGCUCAGUGGUAGAGUGCCUGCUUAGUAUGUGUGAGGUCCUGGGUUCAAUCCCCAGUACCUCUA